AGUGAACGCUGGCGGUAGGCCUAACACAUGCAAGUCGAACGGCAGCACAGUAAGAGCUUGCUCUUACGGGUGGCGAGUGGCGGACGGGUGAGGAAUAUAUCGGAAUCUACUUUUUCGUGGGGGAUAACGUAGGGAAACUUACGCUAAUACCGCAUACGACCUACGGGUGAAAGCAGGGGAUCUUCGGACCUCGCGCGAUUGAAUGAGCCGAUGUCAGAUUAGCUAGUUGGCGGGGUAAAGGCCCACCAAGGCGACGAUCCGUAGCUGGUCUGAGAGGAUGAUCAGCCACACUGGAACUGAGACACGGUCCAGACUCCUACGGGAGGCAGCAGUGGGGAAUAUUGGACAAUGGGCGCAAGCCUGAUCCAGCCAUACCGCGUGGGUGAAGAAGGCCUUCGGGUUGUAAAGCCCUUUUGUUGGGAAAGAAAAGCAGCAGGUUAAUACCCCGCUGUUCUGACGGUACCCAAAGAAUAAGCACCGGCUAACUUCGUG
rnacentral:rRNA from 1 species